rnacentral:rRNA from 1 species
UACGGAGGGUGCGAGCGUUAAUCGGAAUUACUGGGCGUAAAGGGUGCGUAGGUUGUUGUAUAAGUUAACUGUGAAAUACCUGGGCUCAACCUGGGGCGGUCAGUUAAGACUGUAUGACUGGAGUAUGGGAGAGGGUAGUGGAAUUUCCGGUGUAGCGGUGAAAUGCGUAGAUAUCGGAAGGAACACCGGUGGCGAAGGCGGCUACCUGGCCCAAUACUGACACUGAGGCACGAAAGCGUGGGUAGCAAACA